rnacentral:rRNA from 1 species
GAACGCUGGCGGCAGGCCUAACACAUGCAAGUCGAGCGGUAACAGAGAGAAGCUUGCUUCUUUGCUGACGAGCGGCGGACGGGUGAGUAACGCGUAGGAAUCUACCUAUUAGUGGGGGAUAAGCCAGAGAAAUUUGGUCUAAUACCGCAUACGCCCUACGGGGGAAAGGAGGGGCUCUUCGGACCUUUCGCUAUUAGAUGAGCCUGCGUAAGAUUAGCUAGUUGGUGAGGUAAGAGCUCACCAAGGCGACGAUCUUUAGCUGGUCUGAGAGGAUGAUCAGCCACACUGGGACUGAGACACGGCCCAGACUCCUACGGGAGGCAGCAGUGGGGAAUAUUGGACAAUGGGGGCAACCCUGAUCCAGCCAUGCCGCGUGUGUGAAGAAGGCCUUCGGGUUGUAAAGCACUUUCAGAUGUGAGGAAAGGUAAGUAGUUAAUACCUGCUUACUGUGACGUUAGCAUCAGAAGAAGGACCGGCUAACUCCGUGCCAGCAGCCGCGGUAAUACGGAGGGUCCGAGCGUUAAUCGGAAUUACUGGGCGUAAAGCGCGCGUAGGGGGUUUUGUCAGUCA